rnacentral:lncRNA from 1 species
UAGUAGGCUUCCGAGGGUUAAGCGUGCGUGGAAGUGGGCUUCAACGUGGUCAGUUGAGUUCCUUGCGCCAAAAAUAUAGAGGACUGGUGUGACGUUCGUCACACCAUGUGUGACGUCCGUCACAAGGUUACUUCGCGUGACGCUCGUCACGCGUCCUGUGACGUCCGUCACAGGCACAGCAUUGGUGACUUGUGCGCUUUGGGCUGG